UGAGAAAGGAAAACUUGUAGAUGAAUGUUUUAGAACAAAGACAUAAUUAUAAACUACAUGAGGAAUAUUAGGAAUCAUAAUAGAAAAUACUAACAUGAAAAGAUUGUUGGUACAUGAUAGAAAACCGAUUCGCACACAACGAUGAAUGAGACGAGAAGGUACAAAAGGAUAAUCGAAUACAGAAAAACCAAAUAAGUGCCCAGAUGCGAAGUAGGAAAACAUUUAGCAAAACAAGUUUAACCCGGUUGUUUUGGAUAAUGAAGUCUAAGGCUAAAAAGAGAACGUAAAGCACAAACAACCAACUCCUAGAGAAUAAAUUAAAAUAGUAGACGACCAGCGUUACCAACAAUCGUAGAAGCGGAGAAAAGUAUCAUAGGAAUCCAUAAACGAAACUGAAUUUCAGGGAAUUCAACUCCAUUUAACUCACUAAAUUUGUUAGCUGAUAAACGAAUGUUUGAAAAUACUGGAGCAGCCUUUGGUAGGCAGUUGAUGGAUAACAACUAACAUACAUUUUUGAGGUAUCAACCAAAUUAUAAUAUAAGAUACUCCCCAACACAGAAGUAAUUGUCGACAAAAUAAUACCGUUUCUUGAGCGAUCAAAUAUAUACCAAAUGCUAGCAGAACUCGCAACGAGUGCAACAAUGGAGUGUGAAUUCGAAAUAAAUAGUAAUUUCUAGAGAUAAGUUAGCAAG